UGGGGUAUGGGGUAAUUGGCAGCCCAGCGGUUUCUGGAUCCGCUUGUCUAGGUUCGAGUCCUAGUACCCCAGCAA
rnacentral:tRNA from 1 species